UACGAAGGGUGCUAGCGUUGUUCGGAAUCACUGGGCGUAAAGCGCGCGCAGGCGGCCAUUCAAGUCAGAGGUGAAAUCCCUGGGCUCAACCCAGGAAUUGCCUUUGAAACUGUAUGGCUGGAGUGUCGGAGGGGAUAGCGGAAUUCCUAAUGUAGCGGUGAAAUGCGUAGAUAUUAGGAGGAACACCGGUGGCGAAGGCGGCUAUCUGGACGACAACUGACGCUGAGGCGCGAAAGCGUGGGGAUCAAACAGG
rnacentral:rRNA from 1 species